AAGCGGAGGAAAAGAAACCAACAGGGAUUGCCCUAGUAACGGCGAGUGAAGCGGCAACAGCUCAAAUUUGAAAUCUGGCGUCUUUGGCGUCCGAGUUGUAAUUUGCAGAGGGCGCUUUGGCAUUGGCAGCGGUCCAAGUUCCUUGGAACAGGACGUCACAGAGGGUGAGAAUCCCGUACGUGGUCGCUAGCCUUUACCGUGUAAAGCCCCUUCGACGAGUCGAGUUGUUUGGGAAUGCAGCUCUAAAUGGGAGGUAAAUUUCUUCUAAAGCUAAAUACUGGCCAGAGACCGAUAGCGCACAAGUAGAGUGAUCGAAAGAUGAAAAGCACUUUGGAAAGAGAGUUAAAAAGCACGUGAAAUUGUUGAAAGGGAAGCGCUUGCAGCCAGACUUGCCUGUAGUUGCUCAUCCGGGUUUCUACCCGGUGCACUCUUCUAUAGGCAGGCCAGCAUCAGUUUGGGCGGUUGGAUAAAGGUCUCUGUCAUGUACCUCCUUUCGGGGAGAACUUAUAGGGGAGACGACAUGCAACCAGCCUGGACUGAGGUCCGCGCAUCUGCUAGGAUGCUGGCGUAAUGGCUGUAAGCGGCCCGUCUUGAAACACGGACCAAGGAGUCUAACAUCUAUGCGAGUGUUUGGGUGUCAAGCCCGAGCGCGUAAUGAAAGUGAACGGAGGUGGGAACCUUUCGGGGUGCACCAUCGACCGAUCCUGAUGUCUUCGGAUGGAUUUGAGUAAGAGCAUAGCUGUUGGGACCCGAAAGAUGGUGAACUAUGCUUGAAUAGGGUGAAGCCAGAGGAAACUCUGGUGGAGGCUCGCAGCGGUUCUGACGUGCAAAUCGAUCGUCAAAUUUGGGCAUAGGGGCGAAAGACUAAUCGAACUAUCUAGUAGUGGGUCCUGCGGUUU
rnacentral:rRNA from 1 species